GCGGGAAUAGCUCAGAUGGAUAGAGUAGUUGGCUUCGAACCAAUUGGUCGGGGGUUCAAUUCCCUCUUCCCGUGCCA
rnacentral:tRNA from 1 species